rnacentral:tRNA from 2 species
AGGGGGAUGGCGCAGUUGGAGUGCGUUGCUCCUGGAAAAAAAAAAAAAAACCUGCUGUGGCCUGGCAGGUCGUCGGUUUGAAUCCGGCUCCCUCCA